UCUUCGAUGGUCUAACGGUCAUGAUUUCCGCUUGUCACCCUCGAAAGGGAAUAAGCGCGGGAGACCGGGGUUCGACUCCCCGUCGGAGAG